UGGGGAAUCUUCCGCAAUGGACGAAAGUCUGACGGAGCAACGCCGCGUGAGGGAUGAAGGCCUUCGGGUUGUAAACCUCUGUCUUCAGGGAAGAAAAAAAUGACGGUACCUGAGGAGGAAGCCCCGGCUAACUACGUGCCAGCAGCCGCGGUAAUACGUAGGGGGCGAGCGUUAUCCGGAAUCAUUGGGCGUAAAGGGCGCGUAGGCGGAUAUUUAAGUCAGGUGUGAAAACCCAGGGCUCAACCUUGGGAUUGCAUCUGAUACUGGGUAUCUUGAGGACAGGAGAGGAAAGUGGAAUUCCUAGUGUAGCGGUGAAAUGCGUAGAUAUUAGGAGGAACACCAGUGGCGAAGGCGACUUUCUGGACUGUAACUGACGCUGAGGCGCGAAAGCGUGGGGAGCAAACA
rnacentral:rRNA from 1 species